UACGUAGGGGGCAAGCGUUGUCCGGAAUUAUUGGGCGUAAAGAGCGUGUAGGCGGUCCGGUAAGUCCGCUGUGAAAGUCCAGGGCUCAACCCUGGAAUGCCGGUGGAUACUGCCGGGCUAGAGUCCGGAAGAGGCGAGUGGAAUUCCUGGUGUAGCGGUGAAAUGCGUAGAGAUCAGGAGGAACACCCGGGGCGAAGGCGGCCCUCUGGCUCGGUACUGACGCUGAGACGCGAAAGCGUGGGGAGCAAACAGG
rnacentral:rRNA from 1 species